rnacentral:rRNA from 1 species
UACAGAGGUCUCAAGCGUUGUUCGGAUUCAUUGGGCAUAAAGGGUGUGUAGGUGGCGCCGUAAGUCGGGUGUGAAAUCUCGGGGCUUAACUCCGAAACUGCAUUCGAUACUGCGGUGCUUGAGGACUGGAGGGGAGACUGGAAUUCAUGGUGUAGCAGUGAAAUGCGUAGAGAUCAUGAGGAAGACCAGUGGCGAAGGCGGGUCUCUGGACAGUUCCUGACACUGAGACACGAAGGCCAGGGGAGCAAACGGG